GACGAAGGGGGCUAGCGUUGUUCGGAAUUACUGGGCGUAAAGCGCACGUAGGCGGCUUGGUAUGUCGGGUGUGAAAUCCCCGGGCUCAACCUGGGAACUGCAUCCGAAACUGCCUUGCUAGAGUAUGGGAGAGGGAAGUGGAAUUUCCGGUGUAGCGGUGAAAUGCGUAGAUAUCGGAAGGAACAUCAGUGGCGAAGGCGACUUCCUGGACCAAUACUGACGCUCAGGUGCGAAAGCGUGGGGAGCAAACAGG
rnacentral:rRNA from 1 species